rnacentral:pre_miRNA from 1 species
GUGCAUUGUAGUUGCAUUGCAUGGAAGUUCAACCGGUGCAGUGCUCCUGCAGUGCAAUCA